rnacentral:rRNA from 1 species
CAAUAGCGUAUAUUAAAGUUGUUGCAGUUAAAAAGCUCGUAGUAGGAUUUCUGAUCGAGACAUCAGGUCGGGUCCGAGAGGAUCAUGUACUUUGAUUUUGUUUUGAUCAUCCUUGGGGAGAGCAUUUCUGGCAUUCAGUUGUCGGGAUUGGGAUCCUCAUCGUUUACUGUGAAAAAAUUAGAGUGUUCAAAGCAGGCCUCGGCCUCUGAAUACAUUAGCAUGGAAUAAUAAGAUAGGACUUUGGUGGUCUAUUCUGUUGGUUUGCACGCCAAAGUAAUGAUUAAUAGGGAUAGUUGGGGGUAUUCGUAUUCAAUUGUCAGAGGUGAAAUUCUUGGAUUUAUGGAAGACGAACUACUGCGAAAGCAUUUACCAAGGAUGUUUUCAUUAA